rnacentral:rRNA from 1 species
AGCUCCAAUAGCGUAUAUUAAAGUUGUUGCAGUUAAAAAGCUCGUAGUUGGAUUUCUGGUGUGAGGGAACGGUCCGACCUCUGGUGGGUAUACUUGCUUCCUCUCACGCCAUCCUUGAGUGGUGCGUUCUGGCAUUCAGUUGUCGGGACGUUAGCCGCUCAUCGUUUACUGUGAGAAAAUUAGAGUGUUCAAAGCAGGCUUAUGCCGUUGAAUAUAUUAGCAUGGAAUAAUAAGAUAGGACUUCGGUACUAUUUUGUUGGUUUGCGCACCGAUGUAAUGAUCAAUAGGGACAGUUGGGGGUAUUCGUAUUCAGUUGUCAGAGGUGAAAUUCUUAGAUUUACGGAAGACGAACUACUGCGAAAGCAUUUACCAAGGAUGUUUUCA